rnacentral:rRNA from 1 species
CAGCAGCCGCGGUAAUACAGAGGGUGCGAGCGUUAAUCGGAUUUACUGGGCGUAAAGCGUGCGUAGGCGGCUUCUUAAGUCGGAUGUGAAAUCCCUGAGCUUAACUUAGGAAUUGCAUUCGAUACUGGGAAGCUAGAGUAUGUGAGAGGAUGGUAGAAUUCCAGGUGUAGCGGUGAAAUGCGUAGAGAUCUGGAGGAAUACCGAUGGCGAAGGCAGCCAUCUGGCCUAAUACUGACGCUGAGGUACGAAAGCAUGGGGAGCAAACAGGAUUAGAGACCCGCGUAGUCCCUGUCUCUUAUAC